CCGUUAACGAACGAGACCUCGACCUGCUAAAUAGUUCGGCGAAUCUUUCGGGAUUCGUACGCGCUUCUUAGAGGGACUAUCGGUGUGUAGCCGAUGGAAGUUCGAGGCAAUAACAGGUCUGUGAUGCCCUUAGAUGCCCUGGGCCGCACGCGCGCUACACUGAUACGUUCAUCGAGCUUACAACCUUGACUGACAGGUCUGGGUAAUCUUCUCAAAUCGUAUCGUGCUGGGGAUAGAUUAUUGUAAUUAUUAAUCUUCAACGAGGAAUUCCUAGUAAACGCGAGUCAUCAGCUCGCAUUGAUUACGUCCCUGCCCUUUGUACACACCGCCCGUCGCUAAUACCGAUUGAAUGGAUA
rnacentral:rRNA from 1 species